AUUGAACGCUGGCGGCAUGCCUUACACAUGCAAGUCGAACGGCAGCACGGGGGCAACCCUGGUGGCGAGUGGCGAACGGGUGAGUAAUGCAUCGGAACGUGCCCCGUAGCGGGGGAUAACCAGUCGAAAGACUGGCUAAUACCGCAUACGCUCCACGGAGGAAAGCAGGGGAUCGCAAGACCUUGCACUAUGGGAGCGGCCGAUGCCCGAUUAGCUAGUUGGUGAGGUAAAGGCUCACCAAGGCGACGAUCGGUAGCUGGUUUGAGAGAACGACCAGCCACACUGGGACUGAGACACGGCCCAGACUCCUACGGGAGGCAGCAGUGGGGAAUUUUGGACAAUGGGCGCAAGCCUGAUCCAGCCAUGCCGCGUGUGUGAAGAAGGCCUCGG
rnacentral:rRNA from 1 species